CUUGUAAAUCCGACUUUCAUAAUGAAGAAUAAAUUAAGCACUAAAAUUUCUAUUCACUAAACCAUUUGUACUUUUUUUGAUACAAUGUAUAUUGAAAAUAAAUUUUUAACAGUAAUUCCAAUUGAAGUAGAUCCUGAAUAUUAAAUGAAAUUUAGCACCACUACUAUUCCAUUUCAGGAAUCGUAAUAUAACAUGAAAAUAUAUCCCAUUAGAAAACACCAAGCCACACAUAAUUCAUCUUGUAGAAUUAUUCACAAUUAGAUGGGUUAUCCAAAUAAAUCCAUUUCACAAACACUUUAAUUCCAUAUCAGGAAUCAGCAACUUAAAAUAUAUUCCACAUUAAAACACCAUGAAGCAAA
rnacentral:lncRNA from 1 species